rnacentral:rRNA from 1 species
GCGAAGCGUAUUAGCGGAAGUUUUCGGAUGGAAGCGGAUAUGACUUAGCGGCGGACGGGUGAGUAACGCGUGGAUAACCUGCCUCAUACAGGGGGAUAACAGUUAGAAAUGACUGCUAAUACCGCAUAAGCGCACAGGACCGCAUGGUCCGGUGUGAAAAACUCCGGUGGUAUGGGAUGGAUCCGCGUCUGAUUAGCUGGUUGGUGAGGUAACGGCCCACCAAGGCGACGAUCAGUAGCCGACCUGAGAGGGUGGCCGGCCACAUUGGGACUGAGACACGGCCCAAACUCCUACGGGAGGCAGCAGUGGGGAAUAUUGCACAAUGGGGGAAACCCUGAUGCAGCAACGCCGCGUGAGUGAAGAAGUAUUUCGGUAUGUAAAGCUCUAUCAGCAGGGAAGAAGAAAGACGGUACCUGACUAAGAAGCCCCGGCUAACUACGUGCCAGCAGCCGCGGUAAUACGUAGGGGGCAAGCGUUAUCCGGAUUUACUGGGUGUAAAGGGAGCGUACACGGCUGUGCAAUUCUGAAGUGAAAGCCCGUGGCUCAACCGCGGAACUGCUUUGGAAACUGUAUAGCUUGAGUACUGGAGGGGCAGGGCGGAAUUCUUAGGGUAGCGGUGAAAGGGUAGGAUAUUAGGAGGAACACCAGUGGCGAAGGCGGCCUGCUGGACAGAAACUGACGUUGAGGCUCGAAAGCGUGGGGAGCAAACAGGAUUAGAUACCCUGGUAGUCCACGCGGUAAACGAUGAAUGCUAGGUGUUGGGGAGCAAAGCUCUUCGGUGCCGUCGCAAACGCAGUAAGCAUUCCACCUGGGGAGUACGUUCGCAAGAAUGAAACUCAAAGGAAUUGACGGGGACCCGCACAAGCGGUGGAGCAUGUGGUUUAAUUCGAAGCAACGCGAAGAACCUUACCAAGUCUUGACAUCCUCCUGAAUGAUGGGUAAAGCCGUCAGGCCUUCGGGACAGGAGAGACAGGUGGUGCAUGGUUGUCGUCAGCUCGUGUCGUGAGAUGUUGGGUUAAGUCCCGCAACGAGCGCAACCCUUAUCCUCAGUAGCCAGCGGCCAGGCCGGGCACUCUGUGGAGACUGCCAGGGAGAACCUGGAGGAAGGUGGGGAUGACGUCAAAUCAUCAUGCCCCUUAUGAUUUGGGCUACACACGUGCUACAAUGGCGUAAGCAAAGGGAAGCGAAGUGGCGACACGGAGCGAACCCCAAAAAUAACGUCUCAGUUCGGAUUGUAGUCUGCAACUCGACUACAUGAAGCUGGAAUCGCUAGUAAUC